rnacentral:rRNA from 1 species
GAUGAACGCUGGCGGCGUGCCUAAUACAUGCAAGUCGAGCGAACGGACGAGAAGCUUGCUUCUCUGAUGUUAGCGGCGGACGGGUGAGUAACACGUGGAUAACUUACCUAUAAGACUGGGAUAACUUCGGGAAACCGGAGCUAAUACCGGAUAAUAUUUUGAACCGCAUGGUUCAAAAGUGAAAGACGGUCUUGCUGUCACUUAUAGAUGGAUCCGCGCUGCAUUAGCUAGUUGGUAAGGUAACGGCUUACCAAGGCAACGAUGCAUAGCCGACCUGAGAGGGUGAUAGGCCACACUGGAACUGAGACACGGUCCAGACUCCUACGGGAGGCAGCAGUAGGGAAUCUUCCGCAAUGGGCGAAAGCCUGACGGAGCAACGCCGCGUGAGUGAUGAAGGUCUUCGGAUCGUAAAACUCUGUUAUUAGGGAAGAACAUAUGUGUAAGUAACUGUGCACAUCUUGACGGUACCUAAUCAGAAAGCCACGGCUAACUACGUG